UACGUAGGCAGCGAGCGUUGUUCGGAGUUACUGGGCGUAAAGAGUGCGUAGGCGGUUUCUAAGUUUGGUGUGAAAUCUCCCGGCUUAACUGGGAGGUGCGCGAAGACUGGAAGGCUAGAGUAUGGGAGAGGUAAGCGGAAUUCCUGGUGUAGCGGUGAAAUGCGUAGAUAUCAGGAGGAACACCUGCGGUGUAGACGGCUUACUGGACCAUAACUGACGCUGAGGCACGAAAGCGUGGGUAGCAAACAGG
rnacentral:rRNA from 1 species